UCUGGUUGAUCCUGCCAGUAGCAUAUGCUUGUCACAAAGAUUAAGCCAUGCAUGUCUAAGUAUAAAUAGUAUACAGUGAAACUGCGAAUGGCUCAUUAAAACAGUUAUAGUUUAUUUGAUAAUGGAAGCCUACAUGGAUAACCGUAGUAAUUCUAGAGCUAAUACAUGCUGUUAAACCUGACUCACGAAAGGUUGUAUUUAUUAGAUAUGAAGCCAAUAUUCCAUCCGGAUUAUUGUGGUGAAUCAUAGUAACUGAUCGAAUCUCCAUCUGGAGAUAAAUCAUUCAAGUUUCUGCUCUAUCAGCUUUCGAUGGUAGUGUAUUGGACUACCAUGGCAGUCACGGGUAACGGAGAAUUAGGGUUCGAUUCCGGAGAGGGAGCCUGAGAAACGGCUACCACAUCUAAGGAAGGCAGCAGGCGCGUAAAUUACCCAAUCCUGAUUCAGGGAGGUAGUGACAAGAAGUAACAACCCGGGGGACUCACGUCUUUACGGGAUUGCAAUGAGAACAAUUUAAAUCACUUAGCGAGGAUCAAUUGGAGGGCAAGUCUGGUGCCAGCAGCCGCGGUAAUUCCAGCUCCAAUAGUGUAUAUUAAAGUUGUUGCAGUUAAAAAGCUCGUAGUUGAACUUCUGGCAGUGUGCAGAUAUGGCUACGGUCAGUCUGUUCGCUGUCAUCCGUCUGCAAACCUCGUACGUCCUUGAGUGGUUCGGCGAGGGGAGUAGACAUUUUACUUUGAAAAAAUUAGAGUGUUUCAAGCAGGCUUUUGCCAGAAUACUUUAGCAUGGAAUAAUGGAAUAGGACUUCUGUCCAUUUGGUUGGUUAUUGGCCAGGAGUAAUGAUUAAUAGGGACAGUUGGGGGCAUUAGUAUUUAAUUGUCAGAGGUGAAAUUCAUGGAUUUAUUAAAGACUAACUUAUGCGAAAGCAUUUGCCAAGGAUGUUUUCAUUAAUCAAGAACGAAAGUUAGGGGAUCAAAGACGAUCAGAUACCGUCCUAGUCUUAACUAUAAACGAUGUCGACUCGGGAUUGGAAGGGUUCCUUUUAUCCCUUCCAGCACCGUAUGAGAAAUCAUUAAGUCUUUGGGUUCUGGGGGGAGUAUGGUCGCAAGGCUGAAACUUAAAGGAAUUGACGGAAGAGCACCACCAGGCGUGGGACCUGCGGCUUAAUUUGACCCAACACGGGAAAACUUAUUUCAGCAAAACAUGAGUGGGAUUGACAGAUUGAGAGCUCUUUCUUGAUUUUAUGGGGUGUGGGGCAUGGCCGUUCUUAGUUGGUGGAGUGAUUUGUCUGGUUAAUUCCGUUAACGAACGAGACCUUAACCUGCUAACUAGUCAGCG
rnacentral:rRNA from 1 species